GGAAGGAUGGCCGAGUGGUUUAAGGCAACGGUCUUGAAAACCGUCGAGUGUAACAGCUCCCAGAGUUCGAAUCUCUGUCCUUCCGCCA
rnacentral:tRNA from 112 species